rnacentral:rRNA from 1 species
UACGUAGGUGGCAAGCGUUAUCCGGAAUUAUUGGGCGUAAAGCGCGCGCAGGCGGUUUCUUGAGUCUGAUGUGAAAGCCCACGGCUCAACCGUGGAGGGUCAUUGGAAACUGGGGAACUUGAGUGCAGAAGAGAAAAGCGGAAUUCCACGUGUAGCGGUGAAAUGCGUAGAGAUGUGGAGGAACACCAGUGGCGAAGGCGGCUUGGUGGUCUGUAACUGACGCUGAGGCGCGAAAGCGUGGGGAGCAAACAGG